CAAUAGUUAUGCAUGUUUGAUACCAAGUUUUUACCUUUUAGUCACAAGUUAGUUAACAAUGAGUAUUGCAUGCCUUGAUGCUAUGUUUUUACUAUUUUAGUAGUGGAAAUAUAAAUUUCCAAGUGGGGAGUAUUCUGGAACGUAUAACUCCAUGGACCGUAUAGCUCUAUGUAGCCCUAACUAGAGAGCAGGUAUCAGUGUGUUGGAGUAUCUGGCAGUUAUUGGGUUAAAUGCUACGUAUGUUGAUGGGUCAGUGGGAGGAGUAUCAAAGGUCAUUGAGAGACUUCCUGGACACAAGCCAGAUGGGAUCCUUUGUUCACCAGCCGCAUGGUUCCUAGCCACGCGGUUAGGAGAGCCUCACCAACAUGUGACGCUCAGGAAGAGAGGAGGGGAAAAUCCAAUGUCAAUAUUGCAAAGUAUGUUUCUGGAUGGAUCUACAUAACAAGUCUAUUAACUAGUAAUACAUAAAGAGGACACUACUGUAAAAGGAUGCAAAGCAAAGUGUCUGUCUCAACAUCAGAUACAUUCUUGGACAUAAUGGGAAAUCCCUCCAUUUGUCCUCCUGCUACUUAUUUUGCUUUCUGAAGGAUCUUAUUGGGUCUGCUGCUCUGUGGAAAUUGUGUGACUUGCCAGAAAAUUGGGGUCUAUCUCACUUGACUGUCAUUCCAAGAAGCUUUAUUGCCACUCCAACAAUCUCAGAUUAAUCAUUUCAAAACUGCUCAGGUAUCCUUCCUCAUGUUGCUAGUUCCAUGAAGAAUUCUAUGUUCUAUCUUUUUUUUGUACUUCUGUGGAACAGAUAAGCUACAAAGGAUUUUUUCACUUUAGAGUGGAUUUUUCAUCAUCAUUUAUUUUUAAAAAUGUCCACCACUAUGAAGGAAGCCUUCAUUGUUACCCUCUACAAAGCAAAAAUAUGUGCUAAUCAACACCCAAGUCCUUAUUUGGGCCUGAAUAAGAUGAGCAGCAUUAUACUCAGCUUUAUGCAAAAUUAUUUUGUGCAUUGUAAUAUGCUCUGUCAAAUACAUCUGGUUCGUCCAGGGCUGCUGCUUUGCCAGGAAUAAAGAAGAAAACCACAACAGGUCUGCCUUGCAUUUCUUGCAAAUGGCAAUGAGAAUGCACAAAUGUCUUACAUACUGGGAACAACUGGCUUCUUACAACCUGCCAACAAAAAUUGUGUCUUGCAAUACAGUCAGCUGACUGGGAGGAAGGUGGAUACAUACCCACUUUUGCAGGCCAUGCAGCAAGUUUUUGAGAGUCAGAUGUUGCCUCAGUGGAAUCUGUCUACUGCAGUCCAAGGAUCCACCUGGGUUGAAUAAGCUACAUUUUCUUUCAUUCUCAUUUGCUAAUUUCAGCCUAGCUUGUUUCUUAUCUCUGAAUGUAACAUUUUAGCAUGUGAUUCCAAACAAACCAAUUGAUUUUUAUUAUCCUGCUUACAAUACCACAGACCUGUGUCCAUAUAUCCACAGUUCAAAUCUGGCUAAAUCUCUUCUACUAUAUCUAGAAAUACAAUUGAGAAUAGUUUCCAAUUUUUCCCCAAAUUAUUCAUUCUUUCACAUUUAUUUAAACAGUUUUCUCAUUUCACAGGAAAUGCAAUUUUAAAUAUACUUAAUUCCUUACUCCAAAUUUGCAGCAUACUUUCCACUCAGAUAAGUUUCAUUUGGCAAACAUAUCCCAUGCAGGAUUGACCAAGUUCUUCAGAACUGAAUAAGCAAACCUUAACACUGCAAUUUCAUAUUUUAAUUACAUGUCUGGGUAAAUGAGAUGGUUCUUGUCCAUUUUUUGCCUACCAAAAUGUUUUGCCUAACACUUGAAUUCCAUAAUCAUAUCUUUGAAAGCAUUCUUCAUGAUAUGGUUGAGCAAUAUUCAUAUAACUAAAUUGUAGAUCAAUAUUCAUAUAAUUGAAUUGUUAAUAAAAGUUCACAG